CAAGAGAGCUGUAACACUAAGAAGAGCUGUAACACAGUAAAGGCUUGUUCGCAGAAGAAUCCUGUGCGUCGUUCUUACUGGCGGGACAUUAGGUGAAAAUCCAUGUCAGGUUUUUCAUUUUAUUUUUACUCUGAAAUCGAGAGGAUAAUUCAGGUGCAUCAUUCAAAUGUACAUCACAACCUUGGUGCAAAGGAAUAUGUUUUACUGGAGAUGUCUAAGGGACUCAUCUCUUGAAGAAAUGGACAUCAAGUCUCUUAUCCUCAGAAGAAUAAUAAAUGGAGUAUAAUAAGACAUGUUUAGAUCAAAAAGUCAUUUAAAUAUUUUUUCAAUAUAACAUUUGGAUUUAUUUCCUG
ensembl:lncRNA